CGUCGCUACCUGGCAUUUAAUUGCAAUUCUCAAAACCCCCUCCCACACCCUCCAUCACACGCAUUGCUACCGUCAUCGUCUUGCCUGGCGAAUCGGGUGUAAAUACGCACAAUGAAAGCACCGCUAAAAUUUUUGUUGUAAUAGCUGAAAUACUAAGUGCCACGAGGAUUUUAUAUAGGGUAUUUAUACAUCUUAGCACGGUUUACUGCAUGGCCUGAUGAUGCCUUGGAGAUGGUGGCCACAUCACUGCUGCAGGAAACUAAACUGGAGGCAUCAUUGUUGGCUCACUGUGUCACUGUCUGCAAGUAUUUCCACCACAGCAUUGAUGACCUUGCCCACAGGUUCUAUGAGCAGCUGCGGCGGAGGUACUAUGUGACAUUGUGACACCCACCUCCUACCUGGAGCUCGUGUUCACCUUCAAGCAGCUCCUCCUUAAGAAGCGCUCAGAGAUCCUCACACUACGGGACAGGUAUGUGACAGGUCUGGAGAAACUGAAAGAGGCCAAGCUGUUGAUCACUGAACUGCAAGAAGAGCUAAAGCUGCUGCAGCCCUGCCUAGUGGAGACCUCUGCCAACACGGAGGCACUUAUGAUCAAGAUCGAACAAGACACCAUCCAAGUGGAGAGGAAACAAGAGUUGGUGGCGGCAGACGAGGCGGUGGCCAAUAAGAAGUUUGCCGAUGCACAGGCCAUAAAAGACGACUGUGAAAAGGAGCUCGCCAAGGCAGUACCAGCUCUCAAUGCUGCCACAGAUGCCCUCAACACCCUCAAACAAGAUGACAUACGCGUCGUCAAGGCCAUGAAGAACCCGCCCUCAGGAGUCAAGCUGGUGAGUAUAACCUACCAAAUGAUGACAUUGGUUAUGAAGAGUGCUCACCUUAACCUCCACUCUGACUCUACCUAAGUCUCCACUGUUGUUUUACCUAAUCUUCCACUCUGACUCUACUGUCCCCAAACCUUCACUUUGCCUUAAUAUCCUCUAGCUGUUGACCUUAAGUCACUUUGUGCUCCUAACACACCCUGUGAUCCUCACACCCUCCUAAAGAUAUAUGAAAAGUUUUGUCCCUGUGUUGUUUUUUGUAUUUCUAAUCAUUA